rnacentral:rRNA from 1 species
UGGGGAAUACUGCACAAUGGAGGGAACUCUGAUGCAGCGACGCCGCGUGAACGAAGAAGGCUUUCGAGUUGUAAAGUUCUUUUAUAUGGGAAGAUAAUGACGGUACCAUAAGAAAAAGCCCCGGCUAACUACGUGCCAGCAGCCGCGGUAAUACGUAGGGGGCUAGCGUUGUCCGGAAUCACUGGGCGUAAAGGGUUCGCAGGCGGAAAUGCAAGUCAGGUGUAAAAGGCAGUAGCUUAACUACUGUAAGCAUUUGAAACUGCAUAUCUUGAGAAGAGUAGAGGUAAGUGGAAUUUUUAGUGUAGCGGUGAAAUGCGUAGAUAUUAAAAAGAAUACCGGUGGCGAAGGCGACUUACUGGGCUCAUUCUGACGCUGAGGAACGAAAGCGUGGGUAGCAAACAGG